AUGAAUUUCAGAAUUUCUUUUGCGUUGAAUCUGAGAGCUGCUUUUACUUUGACUGGAUUCCAAAUGAAAGUAUACAUUUUUCUUUGUUUGAUGUGCUGGGCAAGAUCUGAGAAUGAAAGACCAUGCCUUGAAUUCUCUCAUCUAAACAUAUUGGAUUCCAUCAAAGACUUGUUUAUUCCCAAAACAAACGUUGUUUUGAUGCUGUAUACAAGGAACAGCCGUUCCUGUGCUGAGCCACUCUUUGAGCAGGAUAACUCACUUAAUGUUAAUUUCAAUACAAGCAAGAAGACAGUCUGGCUUAUUCAUGGAUACAGACCAACGGGCUCCACUCCUGUAUGGCUUCAGAAUCUUCUAAAGGUGUUGUUGACUCAUGAGGAUCUGAAUGUAAUUGUAGUAGACUGGAACCGGGGUGCUACAACUUUUAUCUACAACAGAGCAGUUAAAAACACCAGAAAAGUUGCUGCAUGUUUGGGUACAUACAUUCAGACUCUUUUGAGCCAUGGAGCGUCUCUUGAUACUUUUCAUUUUAUAGGUAUGAGCUUAGGGGCUCAUCUUAGUGGAUUUGUUGGAAAAAUAUUUCAAGGCCAAGUUGGAAGAAUAACAGGUCUUGACCCAGCUGGGCCAAGGUUCUCUGGACAACCAUGUAAUGAAAGAUUAGAUUACACCGAUGCAAAGUUUGUGGAUGUCAUCCAUUCUGAUACUGAUGGUUUAGGCAUUAAGGAACCCUUGGGACAUAUAGAUUUUUAUCCAAAUGGAGGAAAAAAGCAACCUGGCUGCCCUACAUCCAUUUUUUCAGGCAUUGCGUAUAUUAAAUGCGAUCACCAGAGAGCUGUUUACUUGUUCAUGGCAUCUUUGGAAACAACCUGCCAUUUUAUUUCAUUUCCUUGUUCUUCAUACAAAGAUUUCCUAGCUGGUUCAUGUGUGGACUGUGAUGACUUCCAGGAAAAAUCAUGUCCUUGGCUAGGUAAUAGAGCUGAGCGAUGGAAAGAUAUUUUAAAAGAAAGAAAAGAAAAAAAAUUUCUCAGGAACACUGUGUUUUUGGAUACUACUGGCACAAGACCAUUCUGUAGCUAUUAUUUUGUUCUCAGUAUAACUGCUCUGGAUAACAGUAUGAAAAAUGGCUUUAUUACAUUUAAAUUAUUAAACCAGGUUGGAAUGGUUGAAGAGCCAAAGAUUUAUGAGAAGAAAAGAUCAUUUUAUCAACUUCAAGAAGUCAAGAUUCUUGCUCAAUUUUCAAAUGAUGUUAUAAGUAUUUUAGGCAUUGGUUUGGGAUAUUUUCAGAACUCAAAUCAGCAAUGUUCCCAAUGCAAUUACAACAUUCACCGUGUCAUGGUACAAUCACUUACCAAUCCAGAAAGACCACCACUCUGCAUAUACAAUUUUGUACUUAAAGGAAAUGAGGAAGUAUUUCUCAGUCCAAGCACAUGCACAUCAGAGGAUUUGCUCCACAGUGAUGACCUUUGCCUGAUAAGCCAUUUGAAGAUUAAUUGGGGCCAUUGUUGCCCAUCUGGAGAACACUGAUGUGUGAAGACUCUUGGUGUACUAGAUGCGUGUUCCAGGCAGAAACAAGAAGAAGCCUCCUCACUUUUUGUCCAGAUAAAAGCAGAGAAGGGAAGAAGGCUGUGACUCCUUUGACCUCAAGUUCAUAGUCCUGUUAUGGAUGCUCGCUGAAGACGUAAGACUUCUGGCUCAGAGGGGAAAACAACAACCACCACCACCACAAUUGCUCAUAGCAACAGCACAGCUGGAGCACACAGCUCUCCCAGGACAACACAAAGGGGCUAAGUGGAGUAAGGUGGAACUGGCUUUUGAGAAAAAGUAUCUCAACAGAAAUGCCCAUGAAGUAUCAUCCCUUAAUGGCAAGAGCUGCCUGGACAUCAGAAUACCUAAGUGGGAAAAAAGAACUCAGGUUGUACCAACUACUAUGGUAUUAGGAACAAAGGUAGACUCAACGUGGAAUACCUACGUUCAAGGUUAUCAAGCAAGAGGUAAGGAAUCCAGUCCAUGAAUGUUCCUAUAUCUGAGCCAAAAGAGCCUGAGAAUGGGAUUCUUUUUG